AGUGGGAGAAUUGUAUCUCAAAAGCUCACUCCCUCCUAUGACCUUGAGGGCCUGGCGAAUGUCGUCACAUUUUAUUAGCUCUGCAGUCACGCGGCCAUGAGUCACCUCGUUGUUGCCAAAUCGAGCCAUUAGAACAUUCCAGAAGUCCAAUUAUUAGACGAUAAAACUUCGCACGCAUUCCUCUUCUUAUCAGCCUCCAUUUCGCUCAUUUACACCAUUAUGCAGCAUGUUAUCAGGCGCAAAAUAGCGUGAUAAUAUCCGGAAAGUGAAUGUGUUCAUUGUUCUACCCCCACCAAGCUCUGAAUACGGGGGAUGAGUCAUCCCUGUGAAUGAACUCGUACGCCAUUCAAAAGCGGCAACUCUGCUUGCUGUGUUAUAAAUGGCUCAGUAGUUUUCUAUGGGGGCCCUCUAUUGGGUUAAAAUGACGUCAGGCAGUCACGUGGACCAAUCGCAGCGCCGCUUUCAUCACGCGACGAAGUAGCCUUCGGAAACGUAACAGCUUACACACACAAACAAUAGUCUUUGUUAGAACGUCUGGAAAGCAUGUGUACUCCGUGAAAGUGCGUUUUCUUGAGCAAAAUAAUCUGAUUAAACGUGAGCGAUUAAUAUUGUAAACAAGUGAUAUCUGUGGUGAGUUUAUCGUGUUGUGAUCUGCAGGGAUCGAAUCCCUUUGAAUCGUUCUUGGCUCUGCAAAUCGAGGAUUAUUUCAUCAUCCCGCCCAGCGCUGAGCGAGUUCCAGGAAUCUUCUGUGGUUAAAGUGAUCAACAACAUCACUUCUUCCGAAGCUUUGAAAGCAGGCAUCAUUACCUUUGAAGAGGUUUUAAAUCAGAAGUCGCGUGGAAGAUGUGGUCAGGAGCAAGGGAAGCCAAAGUGGGGCGGAUUUCUUGGCGAGAACAGUGCUUCCUUAGCAGCCACAAGUAUUCCUCCAGUAAUGAUGGACACCCCCUCAACUUGGUGGACGGAGGACUUCGUGGACCUGACCAGCUUCACGACGACAGUAGUGGAUGAACGUGGAAUCAAUCAAUCAAGCUCAGAUGGUGUGUAUUUCUGAUAAUCCUGCAAGUGCAAAACGAGUUGUCGAGGCGUGUGCGGUUGCAGGAAAUGUGGGCUUCAAUGCUCAGCAUUGUGCAUCAACUGCAGUGAUACACUGAUACAUGCGAAAACAUGCCUGAAAUUGCUUUAGCGGACUCUGAGGACGAGGAUGAUGUUGAAGCUUAUGACUUUUUCGAUGAGCCAAGUACAGAAUAAGAUUUUGAAGCUGUCAUGACUGAAGUUCAAGACCUUCCAGAAAGCCCACAUUCAGAAAUAAACAAUGAACCUAAAGGUUUGUUAUUUCUUUUACACUGCUCGCUUGUUAUCAAAAACUUCUUGCAUAGAAAAAAUACCAUGGCAAGCCUUAUUAAACAAUCAGGUGUUCGUUAGUGACAUGUAUUCCCGAUAAUCAUCACCAAAAUUUCGGUAAGGAUUAUCAGAAAUACACACCAUAUAUGAACACCAGAUUGCUAGAUGCUUUUCCUAUUUGGGAUUAGUGAUGCUAAAAUUUUAAUCUUCCAUCAAUUUAGGUUCCUUUUUUCCCCUUUUUUUUUCUUGUCCUUCCUUUUCUUUUUUUUUUUUCGUCUGACUUCUAGCUUCAUAUUCUGGAUACUGUUAUAGAGUCGGAGAUCAACGCCGGCCGUGAUGUCUAUGGAGGAGAGCCAGACCCAUCCACCUGUCCGUCACCAAAAGUUAGAACUUCGUUGCACCGAGCUGCCAAACGCCCACGAUUGGACUAACUCACUUACUUAUCAAACAUGUCCACAUUUUGAAAAUAUUUUGAUUUUGUCUAAAUCCGUAACCAGUCAUUUAUGUAAUGGGAUUAAUAAAAUAAUACAUUGAAAUAACCGCUUGUAUGACGUACACGUAAAGGGUUGCAGGGAUAAAGGGUGUUAAGUACGAGGGUCCCCCAAAAAGUAAAGUUCCCUACCUUGUAACUUCUGAGCGAAACGAGA
rnacentral:lncRNA from 1 species